AGAGUUUGAUCAUGGCUCAGGAUGAACGCUGGCGGCGUGCUUAACACAUGCAAGUCGAACGAACCUUCGGGUUAGUGGCGGACGGGUGAGUAACGCGUGAGAAUCUGCCCUCAGGAGGGGGAUAACGGUUGGAAACGACCGCUAAUACCCCAUAUGCCUAUUGGUGAAACGAAUUUCGCCUGAGGAUGAGCUCGCGUCUGAUUAGCUAGUUGGUGAGGUAAUGGCUCACCAAGGCUUCGAUCAGUAGCUGGUCUGAGAGGAUGAUCAGCCACACUGGGACUGAGACACGGCCCAGACUCCUACGGGAGGCAGCAGUGGGGAAUUUUCCGCAAUGGGCGAAAGCCUGACGGAGCAACGCCGCGUGAGGGACGAAGGCCUCUGGGCUGUAAACCUCUUUUCUCAAGGAAGAAGAUAUGACGGUACUUGAGGAAUAAGCCACGGCUAAUUCCGUGCCAGCAGCCGCGGUAAUACGGGAGUGGCAAGCGUUAUCCGGAAUUAUUGGGCGUAAAGCGUCCGCAGGCGGCUUUUCAAGUCUGCUGUUAAAGCGUGGAGCUUAACUCCAUCAUGGCAGUGGAAACUGAAAGGCUUGAGUAUGGUAGGGGCAGAGGGAAUUCCCGGUGUAGCGGUGAAAUGCGUAGAUAUCGGGAAGAACACCAGUGGCGAAGGCGCUCUGCUGGGCCAUUACUGACGCUCAUGGACGAAAGCCAGGGGAGCGAAAGGGAUUAGAUACCCCUGUAGUCCUGGCCGUAAACGAUGAACACUAGGUGUCGGGGGAAUCGACCCCUUCGGUGUCGUAGCUAACGCGUUAAGUGUUCCGCCUGGGGAGUACGCACGCAAGUGUGAAACUCAAAGGAAUUGACGGGGGCCCGCACAAGCGGUGGAGUAUGUGGUUUAAUUCGAUGCAACGCGAAGAACCUUACCAGGGUUUGACAUCCUGCGAACCUCUUAGAAAUUUGAGGGUGCCUUCGGGAAUGCAGUGACAGGUGGUGCAUGGCUGUCGUCAGCUCGUGUCGUGAGAUGUUGGGUUAAGUCCCGCAACGAGCGCAACCCACGUUUUUAGUUGCCAGCAUUUAGUUGGGCACUCUAGAAAGACCGCCGGUGAUAAACCGGAGGAAGGUGUGGAUGACGUCAAGUCAUCAUGCCCCUUACACCCUGGGCUACACACGUACUACAAUGCUACGGACAAAGGGCAGCAAACUCGCGAGAGCUAGCAAAUCCCAUAAACCGUGGCUCAGUUCAGAUCGUAGGCUGCAACUCGCCUACGUGAAGUAGGAAUCGCUAGUAAUCGCAGGUCAGCAUACUGCGGUGAAUACGUUCCCGGGCCUUGUACACACCGCCCGUCACACCAUGGAAGUUGGCCAUGCCCGAAGUCGUUACUCCAACCCUUGUGGAGGAGGACGCCGAAGGUGGGGCUAAUGACUGGGGUGAAGUCGUAACAAGGUAACCGUA
rnacentral:rRNA from 1 species